GUUUAAUAUACAAAGCUUAGAAUUGGAUGACAUUUAGGACACAUUAAAUCAAGAUUAGAUACGAGGAAGUAGUCCCAAUCCACUAAUGGUCAGGCAUUCUGAGAACAUUAAAACAUAAGAAACUUAAGGAAUCAAGGAUGUAUUUACAAGGAAGGAAAAAGAAACAAUUGCUAUUAGUCAAUUGUGAUCAUUUUUACCUUUGGUUUUGGUCGAUGAGUAUUCACUGCGUCAAUUGGUAAUCGAAUAUGUUCCACCUUACAGCCAUAGGCAACUGGCGUUAAUUUAAUAAUAGUAUGUAGUGGCACUUGUAAAUAUGGUAAUUCAUCUAGAAGAAGACAAAUAUGAUCAAAAUUAUUUUGUAAAGUGAAAAAAGAAUGGAAUCUUUGAAUCACAUGAAAUACAGUAAGGAAAAUAAUGUUAUGAGAAAAGAUAAAUAUUAUUUACUCAUCAAAUAAUGGUUUGAAGUAUAACAUAGAUUACGUAUGUAUUCGACGCGUAUGAAAUUGAUUAAACUACUCGCAAUUUAUGGAAAUAAAAUUAUGUAAACAAGAACGACGGGUAUCUUGGACUUCCGUCAUACGUAUAAUUUCGUCACUCCCGAUAUCUCACUUUUUGCAUACAUAUCUAUUUUGUUCAGUUCAUUUCGAUACGUCGAAGGUCCAAAGUUAUAUUCCCUGUUAUAAUAUUCCCUGUUCAAGUAUACAUACGUUUAUGUCGUAUAACUAUGAUUUCUGUAUUUACGAUGUGGAUGCACCUUAUUCAUCCUUUAUUAAUUUGAUUAAGCAGUCGUUCUGAUAAAGAUAUCUUCUCUCAAUUAUUUAUAUACUAGUAUCAACCACAUAAAUAAAAUAUUUGUAAAUAAAGA